AGAAAGAGAGCUACGGGAGACAAAGGGAAAGAGGAAGAAGAAGAAAAGAAAGGAGAGAAGGAAGGGAAGGAGAAGAGAAGUAGAGGAAAUAAGUUUAAAAAGGUAAGAUUUAUGGUUUGAAGUGUAUAAUAUGUUAAAUUUCGGUUUUGAUUAAUUUUAGAGUUUUCAAGUUUGUAUUUUGAGUUAAUUGAUGAAUUAAUUUGAAGCUUAGGAGUUGAUUAUUGUGGGUAUUUGAUUAAUUAGUUGAUUUUGAGAGAUUGAAUUGAAGGAUAAUGAUUUUGAAUUAUGAUUUUGUUUAAAUGGUGAAAUUGUGUUAGAAAUCAAGAGAUAACAGUAGAUUAUCUGUUGAAAUUCUGGGUUUGAGGUUGAAGAUGACAAAAAUUCAAUUUGGUCCCUCAAUUUGCGAAAAUUGCAGUUUAGUCCCUGAACUUUGGAAAUAUUACAAAUUGGUCCCUGGAGCAUAUUCCGAGAUUCUGAACAGAAUAACAUAUGGAUUAUGGGCAGAAUUACUGUAUAGAUAAGAGAAUUUAACACUUUCAAUUUGGUCCUCCAAUUUGACAAAUUACGAUUUGACCCCUAAAAGUUUGAUAAAAUCACAUUUUGGACCUUGGGGCAUAAUUCAAGAUUCUGGACAAAGAUAAGGACGAAUUAUGGAUAAAUUUCAGUAUGGUCAUGUAUUUACAAUUCGGUCCUCAAAUUUUGGUAAAAUUACGUUUUGGUCCCUGUUUUGGAAAAUUGUCGUUUUAGUCCAUAAACUUAGGAGACUAAGCCUGGUUUCCUUUUAUGCAUUGGGAUCUUUUGUUUGAUUUUUUUUUUUAGUAUAUUUCAUAUAUUUAUUGUAGGUUCUCCUAACGAUUCUUAAUAGGAUUUUCGGGUCUUUCGUCCGACAUUCCUUUUAGUUCUAUAUUUUUCGAGUGAGUGGAAUAAUCUUUAAUAUGCAUAUAAUAUAAAUAAAUAUGUAUGUUGAUUAUAAAAUGAGUACAACUAGUAAAUUUCUUGAAUAUUUAUAUAUGUUGCUUUAUUUUCCGAGUACUCAUUUAUUCUUGAAUUUGCACUCGCAAUCUGAUAAAGUAAAUUCUAUUUGAUAUGAUAUACGUUUCUUUGAUGAUUCUGUGAAUAUCUAUUAUGCCUUGAUAUGGGAGUUGUCAGUAACUCCAUGCUAACGGAGAAUAGUUAGCCUGUGUGCACAUAGUAUUCUGUAUACCUAGCUGGUGAGAGAGGCAUCAGCCUGUGGCGAUUGAUCAUCCCACAGUGGUCACCGACGGGUGUCAUCUGGUCACCUUCGGGUGUCAUAUGAUCUCUGACAUGUAAU
rnacentral:lncRNA from 1 species